rnacentral:misc_RNA from 1 species
GAUGAAGAACGUAGCGAAAUGCGAUAAGUAAUGCGAAUUGCAGAAUUCCAGUGAGUCAUCGAAUCUUUGAACGCACAUUGCGCCCUCUGGUAUUCCGGAGGGCAUGCCUGUCUGAGCGUCAUUGUCAACCCUCAAGCUCGGCUUGCUGUUGGGUCCCCGUCGUUGCUUUAACGGCGGACCUGAAAGAUAAUGGCAGAGUCCGUGAGACCCUGGAUGCAGCGAGCUUCUAGCACGCGUCUGGACGGUUCUUGGGCUUGGUCUUAACCGGAUGAUAACUUCUGAUUGACCUCAGAUCAGGUAGGGAUACCCGCUGAACUUAAGCAUAUCAAUAAGCGGGAGGA